rnacentral:rRNA from 1 species
UGCCAGUCAUAUGCUUGUCUCAAAGAUUAAGCCAUGCAUGUCUGAGUACAGACCGAUCUAAGGUGAAACCGCGAAUGGCUCAUUAAAUCAGUCAUAAUUCCUUGGAUAGUGAAAAACUUUCCUCGGAUAACUGUGGAAAAUCCAGAGCUAAUACGUGCAACUGAGCUCCGACCUCGACUUGAGUCGUGGGAAGAGCGCAUUUAUUAGAUUCAAAACUGACCGGUGUACUCCUUCGGGAUACGCCGUCCGUCAAAAGUUUGAUGACUCCGGAUAACUUAGCCGAGCGCUACGGUCUUUAGUACCGGCGCCGUAUCUUUCAAGUGUCUGCCUUAUCAGCUUUCGAUUGUAGGUUAAACGCCUACAAUGGCUGUAACGGGUAACGGGGAAUCAGGGUUCGAUUCCGGAGAGGGAGCCUGAGAAACGGCUACCACAUCUAAGGAAGGCAGCAGGCACGCAAAUUACCCACUCCCAGCCCGGGGAGGUAGUGACGAAAAAUAACGAUGCGAGACUCUUCCGAGGCCUCGCAAUCGGAAUGAGUCCAUUUUAAAUCCUUGGACGAGGAUCCAUUGGAGGGCAAGUCUGGUGCCAGCAGCCGCGGUAAUUCCAGCUCCAAUAGCGUAUAUUAAAGUUGCUGCGGUUAAAAAGCUCGUAGUUGGACUUUCUAGAUCCAUUUCGUGGGUGAGUCGCUCUUUGUACUAGCGUCUUGCGCAGUUCCUCGAUGACGUCGUUCGGCGAAUUCUCUAGAUUUCGGCUUCACGGUCGAUUUCUCGGAGGUUCCCGACGUUUCAGAAUCUUGCGGGCGGCGAGGCGUUGUCUUAGAGUAUAGCUCGUCCGCGUUUGGUACAAUUAAAAUUUUGUCGGCUCGCUCGGAGUGCUCUUCACCGAGUGUUCCAGGGUGGCUGACACGUUCACUUUGAAAAAAUUAGAGUGCUUAAAGCGGGCUUAUUUACGGCCUGAAUGUCUGUGCAUGGAAUGAAGUAACAGGACCUCGAUUCUGUUGUUUUUGUCGGUUUUAAUGAACCGAGGUAAUGAUUAAAAGGGACAGACGGUGGCAUUAGUAUUGCGGCGCUAGAGGUGAAAUUCUUGGACCGUCGCAAGACUAACUACUGCGAAAGCAUUUGCCGAGAAUGUUUUCAUUAAUCAAGAACGAAAGUUAGAGGAUCGAAGGCGAUCAGAUACCGCCCUAGUUCUAACCCUAAACUAUGCUAACUAGCGAUCCGCCGGAGUCAUUCCCACGACCCGGCGGGAAGCCCCAGGGAAACCAAAGUCUUUGAGUUCCGGGGGAAGUAUGGUUGCAAAUCUGAAACUUAAAGGAAUUGACGGAAGGGCACCACCAGGAGUGGAGCCUGCGGCUUAAUUUGACUCAACACGGGAAACCUCACCAGGCCCGGACAUCAUAAGGAUUGACAGGUUGAGAGCUCUUUCUCGAUUUGAUGGGUGGUGGUGCAUGGCCGUUCUUAGUUGGUGGAGUGAUCUGUCUGGUUGAUUCCGAUAACGAACGAGACUCUACCCUACUAACUAGUCGGCGGAUCGUAACCCUGAGAUGGUUAGUACGUAUAGGAGAGUUUCGCGUAGGGGGAGUCCGAUAUCGAUAAGCUCAUCCGUUCGUUAGCUAUUAGCGAAGGGCGUGGUGAGUGGACGGUUCGGUUCUUCGCCGAAACGGCUCUCUCUGAUUACUACUACUGCUGGGGGCGUCCGUCGCAAUGUAUCUUCUUAGAGGGAUCAGCGGCGUAUAGCCGCACGAGAAAGAGCAAUAACAGGUCUGUGAUGCCCUUAGAUGUUCUGGGCCGCACGCGCGCUACAAUGUAGGGCUCAGCGUGCUUUCCCUCUCCGAAAGGAGCGGGUAACCCGUUGAAACCCCUACCCGAUUGGGAUUGGGGAUUGCAAUUAUUUCCCAUAAACGAGGAAUUCCCAGUAAGCGCGAAUCAUUAAUUCGCGCUGAUUACGUCCCUGCCCUUUGUACACACCGCCCGUCGCUACUACCGAUUGAAUGAUUCAGUGAGGGCAUCGGACUGGCCCUUCGGUUUAGUAACCUAGACCUUAGGCUGACGGAAAGAUGUCCGAACUUGAUCA